UGGAGUUUAAAGCACUGGUAUCUGAUGUGAUCUUCUUAAACUUUAAGUCCAUUAGAGAGAGCAAAAGAAACACACACAAUGAUUCUUCAUUCUGUCAUUCUGCUUUCUGCCUUUGCAUAUGCAACACAUGGAAAUGAAAUCAAACCAACCAAAUCAGAGGAGUUUGCUGAUGAGGGUUCGAGUGUUAAAUUAUCCUGCAGUUAUUCAUCUGCAUUAACUCUCUACUGGUACCGUCAGUAUCCCGAAUCAGCUCCUCAGUUCAUUGUGCUCAUCUUAGACAGUGCAAAAAAAGCUCAGGAGUCUAAUGUGGAUUCCAGAUUCACUGCCAAAGUCAGUAAAGACAAAGAAAACCAAGUGGAUCUGGAGAUCUCCUCUGCAUCUAUAUCAGACUCUGCUCUGUACUACUGCGCUCUGGAGCCCACAGUGACAGGAAACACAAGAACACUGUACAAAAACCUGAUACACAGCAUUGCAUCUACAUACCCAACACACAUAUCUGCUAUAGUUAACACAAAGGAACAUCCCUCUAUUCAGCAAAAUCAAUAUCAUAGAUUGUCAUUCACAACAUGA